rnacentral:rRNA from 1 species
CAGUCGCCACGGGAAUACGUAGGGUGCAAGCGUUAAUCGGAAUUACUGGGCGUAAGGCGUGCGCAGGCGGUUCUAUAAGACAGAUGUGAAAUCCCCGGGCUCAACCUGGGAACUGCAUUUGUGACUGUAGAGCUGGAGUACGGCAGAGGGGGAUGGAAUUCCGCGUGUAGCAGUGAAAUGCGUAGAUAUGCGGAGGAACACCGAUGGCGAAGGCAAUCCCCUGGGCCUGUACUGACGCUCAUGCACGAAAGCGUGGGGAGCAAACAGGAUUAGAUACCCCAGUAGUCCCUGUCUCUUAUAC